GAGUGGCGAACGGGUGAGUAACACGUGGGCAACCUGCCCUCAGCUCUGGGAUAACUCCGGGAAACCGGUGCUAAUACUGGAUACGACUGCGCAUCGCAUGGUGUGUGGUGGAAAGUUUUUCGGCUGAGGAUGGGCCCGCGGCCUAUCAGCUUGUUGGUGGGGUAAUGGCCUACCAAGGCGUCGACGGGUAGCCGGCCUGAGAGGGUGUACGGCCACAUUGGGACUGAGAUACGGCCCAGACUCCUACGGGAGGCAGCAGGGG
rnacentral:rRNA from 1 species